rnacentral:rRNA from 1 species
GUCCACGCCGUAAACGUUGGGCACUAGGUGUGGGACUCUAUCGACGGGUUCCGUGCCGUAGCUAACGCAUUAAGUGCCCCGCCUGGGGAGUACGGCCGCAAGGCUAAAACUCAAAGGAAUUGACGGGGCCCGCACAAGCGGCGGAGCGUGUGGCUUAAUUCGAUGCAACGCGAAGAACCUUACCUGGGCUUGACAUGUACGGUAAAGCGGGUGAAAGCCCGUGUGCUUCGGCGCCGUACACAGGUGGUGCAUGGCUGUCGU